rnacentral:rRNA from 1 species
GUGCCGCCGCCGCGGUAAUACCGGCAGCACAAGUGAUGGCCGAUAUUAUUGGGCCUAAAGCGUCCGUAGCCGGCCGGACAAGUCCGUUGGGAAAUCUGCGCGCUUAACGCGCAGGCGUCCAGCGGAAACUGUCCGGCUUGGGGCCGGAAGAUCCGAGGGGUACGUUCGGGGUAGGAGUGAAAUCCUAUAAUCCCGCACGGACCACCGAUGGCGAAAGCACUUCGAGAAAACGGAUCCGACAGUGAGGGACGAAAGCCAGGGUCUCCAACCGGAUUAGAAACCCCGGUAGUCC